CAGGUACAUCUGUCCAGCUUAUUCCAGUACCUGCAAGGUGACAAUAAAGGCCCCAGUAGAAGAUGAGUACCAGUAAAAAUGCCUAGUGCAGUGGUGGCUGUGGCAGACCUCUAGACGAAGAAUGCCUACAAGAAAAUCGUUACCGUGAUCAGCAAGUGUCACAACUCAAGAGCUGAAUUGGACGCAUACAGUAUGUUUCACCUCCUCAUGUCUGGAAUUGUUAGAAGGGGAUAAAUCACUCUCUCCUGGGUCACAAGAAACAAAGGCCACCGCAGGUUCAGAGUUUACUGGGCCAUGCGUUUUACGGGGUGAAAAGGAGGUGAAAAUGAGGUAUAUAAGAUGGCCACAGUUAAGGAACAGUAUAUCCCUGAGGAAGGGGAAUAAUCCCUGCAACGAGUACAUUGGUUGAAGGCUAGCAGGAAUUGAGGGGAGUCACGGACGCAUAGACCCCUGAACUUUAUUUUCUCCACUUCGGGGCGGUUUGGAGCUGGUCGAAAUGGAUUGCAGCGGACAAGGGUCCACAUGGUAUAUUGGAUUACAG